GAUGAACGCUAGCGACAGGCCUAACACAUGCAAGUCGAGGGGCAUCGGGGAGCGAAGCUUGCUUUGCUCCGCCGGCGACCGGCGCACGGGUGAGUAACGCGUAUGCAACCUGCCCGUUUCAGCGGGAUAACCCGGAGAAAUCCGGCCUAAUACCGCAUGUGGCCGAGGGGAGGCAUCUUCUUUCGGCCAAAGGAGGCGACUCCGGAGACGGAUGGGCAUGCGUGACAUUAGCUAGUUGGCGGGGUAACGGCCCACCAAGGCGACGAUGUCUAGGGGUUCUGAGAGGAAGGUCCCCCACACUGGUACUGAGACACGGACCAG
rnacentral:rRNA from 1 species